rnacentral:rRNA from 1 species
UACGGAGGGGACUAGCGUUGUUCGGAAUUACUGGGCGUAAAGCGCACGUAGGCGGAUUUGUAAGUCAGGGGUGAAAUCCCGGGGCUCAACCUCGGAACUGCCUUUGAUACUGCGAAUCUCGAGUCCGGAAGAGGUGAGUGGAAUUCCUAGUGUAGAGGUGAAAUUCGAUAGAUAUUAGGAAGAACACCAGUGGCGAAGGCGGCUCACUGUCCGGUACUGACGCUGAGGUGCGAAAGCGUGGGGAGCGAACAGG